UGUAAAAUGGGGUAAUUAAUGGGAAGACGUUCACGUCACUCCGGCGUUCGGUGUCGCUAUGUAACGUUGUUUACAAUUGUAACAAGCGCGAUCGAAUCGUUCGCGAACGGCACGUGGCACGAAAACCGUCUCGCGUGAACACCGUACCGAAGCGUCUUGCCAACUGAAGUGCAAGCGAAUAGGUACAAAUAUUUAUGCACGCUCUGUUACACGCAUUCCUCGCACAGUUGUGCAGUAUCGAUCAAGUUGUCUGAAUCCUGCCACUGAAUCUUUACCGUCACUCUCAGUUGGAAACUUCCUCCAUGAUAAAUCUCGUUGGGAAAUCAUUCGCUCGAGAUGAUUCCCGUUACUUUAUUUCAAGGCAAAGACCCAUUAAGCCAAGAAUGUAUCUCGAGUGAAAGUUGAGUGUAUAUUUGUCUGUUUGCACUACGGAGAUGAACUGUCAGCACCAUCUUUUGAGAACACGGUGAACCACUUGCCAGAUGGCAUAGACUUAAAAUACGUAUUCUAAAUUGAAUGGACAGCGGGAUAUUUGAAUUAGGAGUAUGGAAUAUUUUGAACUUAUUUCGGAAAUAUUUUCAGGUUUCUAUAUUUUUAAUGACUUUCUACAGUGGAAUAUAGACGCGAGGAUCAACCCUUUGCGAAUGUCGACAUUUCGGCGAGAUGGAAUUUUCAUAUUUGGAAGACUAAGUCAGAAUCUUCAUCUGCAAAGGGUUAAUGAUAAUUUUUCGAAGAACAUGUAUGAAUGUAUAUUUGGUGGACCUGUUUCGUCGGAUUCAUCCUAGUGACUUUUCUCUUUGAGGACAACCUGUACAUGUUCGACAUAAUGUUGGCAAGAGAGUCGGGGAAUUUUCAAGGUUUCUUAACUCAUACGUUUCCCCAGACUCCAUUUAUGUAUCGCUUUUUUUUUAUCAAGAUUCAGAUAGCACAAUAGCAUAUUCAAUUUAAGAAACAUGUAAUAACGUUAUUCAACUGUUGAUUAAA